rnacentral:rRNA from 1 species
UUAGAAAGUUGGGGGUGAAAUCCCGGGGCUCAACCCCGGAACUGCCUCCAGAACUACUAGUCUAGAGUUCGAGAGAGGUGAGUGGAAUUCCGAGUGUAGAGGUGAAAAUCGUAGAUAUUCGGAGGAACACCAGUGGCGAAGGCGGCUCACUGGCUCGAUACUGACGCUGAGGUGCGAAAGUGUGGGGAGCAAACAGG